rnacentral:rRNA from 1 species
CGCGGCCUAUCAGCUUGUUGGUGAGGUAAUGGCUCACCAAGGCGUCGACGGGUAGCCGGCCUGAGAGGGUGACCGGCCACACUGGGACUGAGACACGGCCCAGACUCCUACGGGAGGCAGCAGUGGGGAAUAUUGCACAAUGGGCGGAAGCCUGAUGCAGCAACGCCGCGUGAGGGACGACGGCCUUCGGGUUGUAAACCUCUUUUAGCAGGGAAGAAGCGAGAGUGACGGUACCUGCAGAAAAAGCACCGGCUAACUACGUGCCAGCAGCCGCGGUAAUACGUAGGGUGCAAGCGUUAUCCGGAAUUAUUGGGCGUAAAGAGCUCGUAGGCGGUUUGUCGCGUCUGCUGUGAAAUCCCGAGGCUCAACCUCGGGCCUGCAGUGGGUACGGGCAGACUAGAGUGCGGUAGGGGAGAUUGGAAUUCCUGGUGUAGCGGUGGAAUGCGCAGAUAUCAGGAGGAACACCGAUGGCGAAGGCAGAUCUCUGGGCCGUAACUGACGCUGAGGAGCGAAAGGGUGGGGAGCAAACAGGCUUAGAUACCCUGGUAGUCCACCCCGUAAACGUUGGGAACUAGUUGUGGGGUCCAUUCCACGGAUUCCGUGACGCAGCUAACGCAUUAAGCUCCCCGCCUGGGGAGUACGG